CCUACGGGUGGCUGCAGUGGGGAAUAUUGGACAAUGGGGGCAACCCUGAUCCAGCCAUGCCGCGUGUGUGAAGAAGGCCCUCGGGUUGUAAAGCACUUUCAGUGAGGAAGAACGCCUGGUGGUUAAUACCCAUCAGGAAAGACAUCACUCACAGAAGAAGCACCGGCUAACUCCGUGCCAGCAGCCGCGGUAAUACGGAGGGUGCGAGCGUUAAUCGGAAUUACUGGGCGUAAAGCGCGCGUAGGUGGCGUGAUAAGCCGGUUGUGAAAGCCCCGGGCUCAACCUGGGAACGGCAUCCGGAACUGUCAAGCUAGAGUGCAGGAGAGGAAGGUAGAAUUCCCGGUGUAGCGGUGAAAUGCGUAGAGAUCGGGAGGAAUACCAGUGGCGAAGGCGGCCUUCUGGACUGACACUGACACUGAGGUGCGAAAGCGUGGGUAGCAAACAGGAUUAGAUACCCCUGUAGUC
rnacentral:rRNA from 1 species